rnacentral:rRNA from 1 species
UACGUAGGGGGCUAGCGUUGUCCGGAAUCAUUGGGCGUAAAGCGCGUGUAGGCGGUUCGGUAAGUCUGCUGUGAAAGUCGGGGGCUCAACCCUCGGAUGCCGGUGGAUACUGUCGGACUAGAGUACGGAAGAGGCGAGUGGAAUUCCUGGUGUAGCGGUGAAAUGCGCAGAUAUCAGGAGGAACACCGAUUGCGAAGGCAGCUCGCUGGGACGUUACUGACGCUGAGACGCGAAAGCGUGGGGAGCAAACAGG